rnacentral:rRNA from 1 species
UAAGGAAUAUUGCUCAAUGGGAGAAAUCCUGAAGCAGCAACGCCGCGUGGAGGAUGAAGGGUCUAUGACUUGUAAACUCCUGUAAAGAAGGAAAAAAUUCCCAUUUGAUGGGAGAUGAUGGUACUUCUGGAGUAAGCCCCGGCUAACUACGUGCCAGCAGCCGCGGUAAUACGUAGGGGGCAAGCGUUGUCCGGAUUUACUGGGUGUAAAGGGUGCUCAGGCGGAUUUGUAAGUCAGAGGUGAAAUCUUACAGCUUAACUGUGAAACUGCCUUUGAUACUGCAAGACUAGAGUAUGGAAGAGAGUGAUGGAAUAUCUGGUGUAGCAGUGAAAUGCGUAGAUAUCAGAUAGAACACCAAUGGCGAAGGCAGUCACUUGGUCCAUUACUGACGCUAAAGCACGAAAGCGUGGGUAGCAAACA